rnacentral:rRNA from 2 species
GAAAGUAAAUAAGGGCGCAUGGCGGAUGCCUUGGCUCUCGGAGGCGAUGAAGGACGUGAUAAGCUGCGAUAAGCUUUGGGGAGGUGCAAAUGACCUUUGAUCCAGAGAUUUCCGAAUGGGACAACCCAAUAUCUUGAAGAGGUAUUAUCCAACGUUGUUGGAGGCUAACGCAGGGAACUGAAACAUCUUAGUACCUGCAGGAAAAGAAAAUAAACAAUGAUUCCCCCAGUAGUGGCGAGCGAACGGGGAACAGCCCAAACCAUCCAUGUUACGGCAUGGGUGGGGUUGUAGGACUACGCCGUUGCAUGAAGACAUCAGAGAAGAACUUUCUGGAAAGAAAGACCAUAGAGCAUGACAGUUGCGUAUUCGAAUGUUGUCGAAGCAUAGUAGUAUCCUGAGUAGCGCGGAGCACGAGGAAUUCUGCGUGAAUCUGCCGGGACCAUCCGGUAAGGCUAAAUACUCCCGAGAGACCGAUAGCGAACCAGUACCGUGAGGGAAAGGUGAAAAGCACUUCGAACAGAAGAGUGAAAUAGUUCCUGAAACCGUGCGCCUACAAGCGGUCGGAGCUCGUUAAUGAGUGACGGCGUGCCUUUUGCAUAAUGAACCUACGAGUUGCCUUUGCCGGCAAGGUUAAGUGUGACGACACACGUAUCCGAAGCGAAAGCGAGUCUGAACAGGGCGUAUAGUCGGCAGUGGCAGACGCGAAACCAAGUGAUCUACCCUUGGCCAGGUUGAAGGCUGGGUAACACCAGCUGGAGGACCGCACCAAUAAGCGUUGAAAAGCUUCUGGAUGAGCUGAGGGUAGGGGUGAAAGGCUAAUCAAACUUGGAGAUAGCUCGUACUCCCCGAAAUGCAUUUAGGUGCAGCCUUGCGGGUUACUGAUGUGAGGUAGAGCGACUGAUAAGAUGCGAGGGCUUCACCGCCUAUCAAGUCUUGACAAACUCCGAAUGCGCAUCAGUUCUACCGCAGGAGUGAGGGCAUGGGUGCUAAGGUCCGUGCCCGAGAGGAGAAGAAUCCGGACCACCUGCUAAGGUCCCGAAAUGACAGCUAAGUUAAACUAACGAAGUCUGACUGCUAAGACAGCUAGGAUGUUGGCUUGGAAGCAGCCAUUCAUUUAAAGAGUGCGUAACAGCUCACUAGUCGAGGAGUCGGGCGUGGAUAAUAAUCGGGUAUCAAGUUGUCUACCGAAGCAGUGGGAUCAUUAAUAUGAUCGGUAGGGGAGCAUUCCAGUCGGCGUCGAAGGCGUACCGUGAGGUAUUCUGGAGCGUCUGGAAAAGCAAAUGUAGGUAUAAGUAACGAUAAAGGGGCGGGAAACCCCCUCGCCGAAAGACUAAGGUUCCUGAUCAACGCUAAUCGGAUCAGGGUCAGUCGGGUCCUAAGGCUCAGCCGAACGGCGAUGCCGAUGGCAGAAACGGUUAAUAUUCCGUUACUACCUUCAGGAGUGACGUGGAGACGCAGUAGUGACAGUGCCGCCAUCUGACGGAAUAGAUGGUUGAAGGGUGUAGGAGUCGAUCAUGGCAGGCAAAUCCACCAUGAGAUCCGAACCUGACAGUAUGCCGCGUCCUUCGGACAAGGCAAUAGUGCGCGUAAGCAUGCUGCCGAGAAAAUCCGCUAAACUUAAUCCUGCAGGUACCCGUACCGCAAACGGACACACGUAGUCGGGAUGAAUAUUCUAAGGCGCUUGAGUGAUUCACGGUUAAGAACUAGGCAAACUGACCCUGUAACUUCGGGAUAAAGGUCCCUACCCUUUUAUGGGAGGGCGCAGAGAAUCGGUCCAGGCAACUGUUUAACAAAAACACAGGGCUGUGCCAAAUCGAAAGAUCCAGUAUACAGCCUGACACCUGCCCGGUGCUGGAAGGUUAAGAGGAGAUGUCAUCGAUAAGAGAAGCGUUGAAUUGAAGCCCCAGUAAACGGCGGCCGUAACUAUAACGGUCCUAAGGUAGCGAAAUUCCUUGUCGGGUAAGUUCCGACCUGCACGAAUGGUGUAAUGAUCUGGACGCUGUCUCAACCGUGAGCUCAGUGAAAUUGUAGUAUCGGUGAAGAUGCCGAUUACCCGCGAUGGGACGAAAAGACCCCGUGAACCUUUACUAUAGCUUAUCAUUGAAUCUGGGCACGUGAUGUGUAGGAUAGGUCGGAGGCUUUGAAGCAGGUACGCCAGUAUUUGUGGAGCC